GCCCAGUGCCGCGGCGUGCGAGCACCAUCGCUGUGGAGCUGUGGAGCAGGGAGCUGGGGCCUCUCCGCCGUGGCCGCCCUGGCACACCGCCCUGGCGUGCCGUGCCGUGCCGCGCCGAGUGCCGCGCCGUGCCACGCCGUGCCGCGCCAGCGCUAGUGUCGUGUUGAACAUGUGCCCGCCGUGCCCGCGCGGGUGGCGGCGCUCGCGGCGGGGGUGCGGACCGCCCGCGCCCCCCGCCUUCUGCCCCUUGCCCCCGCCCUACGCGCCCCUCGGGGGCCCGAGCGCGUUGUUGGUACUUUUGACCUGAUCGCGGACGACGAGACGGCACCAUGUUUGGAUUCGCCAAGAACUUGCUCAACACCAUGCUGGGGGAGGAGGAGCAGCAAAAGCCUGGUGGGCCCGGAGGUCCUCCAGGCGGCCAGAUGGGCCACCACCCCCAGGGCGGCCUCGGCGGUGGCCUCGGCGGCGGGGGCGGGCUUGGCGGCGGCCUCGGCACGCAGCAGCACCCGCCACAGCCCAUGCUGAUGCGCGGCUCGAUGGGCACCUUCCCCCGGGCGGGUGGGCCGCCGCGCGGGGUGCCUCCUGGACUGACCCCCCAGGGGGGCAUGCGGCCGGGCAUGGGCAUGGGGCCUCCGGUGGGCAUGGGCGGCCGCAUGAACGGGCCCCGCAUGAUGGGACCGCGGGGGCCGAUGGGGCCGGGCGGUCCUAUGCGAAUGGGUGGCCCCGGACCUCCAGGAGGACCUCAGCAGGGCCCAGGUGGGCCCGGAAUCAUGGGGGGUCAGAUGGGUGGCCCAAUGGGAGGUCCGAUGGGUGGCCCGAUGGGCGGUCCGAUGGGAGGACCACUGGGGGGGCCGAUGGGAGGACCGAUGGGGGGACCGCACCACGCGGGGCCCCUGGGUGGACCCGGCCAAGGCUUUCCCCGACCUGUCGGACUCGGCGGCCCCGGCGCACCGCCUGGCCCCGGAGCCGGACUGGGCGGACCUGGAGCGCCAGGAGCCUUUGGCGGACCACCGCAUUUCCCGGCUGGUCCAGGAAGCCUAGGGGCACCAGGAGGUCCCGUAGGCCCGCACGCCCCACCACCUCCUGCAGGUGGUGUGCCCGAAGUGGAUUUGAGUCAUUUAAGCGAAGAAGAACGCGCGAUGAUUCAGAAUGUGAUGGCAAAAGCGCAACAACUAGAUAAAGGAGAAACAGGGCCAACAAUAAAUAGUAGAAAAGAGCUUGACUCACGGGGACCUCUCCAUCAACCAGACAAUAGAACUAACCAAUUUGGAUUUAAAUCCUGUUCCAUAUGCCACAUGAGAGAGGUCGGUAACGGCGUGGGCCAGGAGUGCGUGGAGUGUAGAAGUCUUACCUGCCACAUGUGUGGCGCCCUAGUUCCAGCGAGUCACGACGCUAGUAAGAAUACUGAAUGGAUGUGUAAAAUGUGUAUGAAAAGAACGAAUGUACAACCCGUUCCUUGGCAACCGCCUGGGCAUAGAAAUCAGCAGCCUGGCAUGACUGGUCAACAACAGCAGCCGUGGGACUCACAAUUGCGGCGUACUGGCAGCCUGGAGCGCGAGCGUGAGUACCAGGAGGGGGCCGAGCGCGCCGAGCGGGCAACCUUUAGGGAGUCCUCUCCGUCGCCACCCGCAGUCACCCGCCCACUGGCGGCGCCGCUGCCCGCCUCCCCGUUUACACCCGUUUCCACUUCGUCGCCGGGCUCCCCGAUGAGCGCCCAGGUCCAGGCUAUCUUAGCCGAGGAUCGGGAGCAGCGGGAGCGAGAGGCGAUUGACCGGGAGCUGGAGCGGGAGGGGGAGCGGGAACGGCUAGAGGAGAGGGCCAGAGAGCUGGAGGCGCAGAGGCUGAGGGAGAAGGAACAGGGGAGGGACAUUCUCAUAGUUUCCCGCGACAUUUCGCCGCCGAGCUCGACAGGCUCGGAGGUGGAGGAGGAAGAGGACUUGUCCCCGGAAGUGUCAGACGACGAGAGACUCCUGUCCCCCACGGCCAGCAUGCCGGCGAGCUCGGCGGCAACGCCGUCACCUUCUACCGUAGUGUCCUCUUCACAACCGCCCUCCAUCCCGGCGCCGGCCCUCCCCGAGUUUUAUCAGACAGCCAUCGGGCCCAUCCCCGAGGAGGACGAGGAGGUCAGCUCACCUACCGCACCGGACGGCGUGUCCAGCCUCCGGCGGCGGCAUAAAACGCCCCCAAUUUCAGUCUCGGCGUCGUCGACUGCGGCGUCACUUUCCAUGACGUCGUCAGCGACGUCAGCCAGCGCCUCGACCUCCGCCACCUUCUCUGUCACCAGCAUCUCGCCGGGAGGUGGAGUUUACAAUUCAACAAUGGACGACGGGCGUAGUCAUAUAGGGGCGAGUGGUAUUCCCCUUUCAGGAACGCAAUCGCUACCACAGUCACCUAGAGCACAACUCAGAUCUCAGCGAUCCCUAGAUGGCGCCCUUGGUGGUUCUCUUGGUGGCCUAACUAAUGCAGGAAGAGGGACUGACCUAGGCCGAGGAAGAGGAGUGUUAGGAAGACCAGGAUCUAGGGAGAGCAUGUUCGACUCACAAAGCAGGGAUCUUGUUAACAGUGACUUUGCACCUCGGAAUGGCAUAACCGCAGGCAUGGAUAUAGAUAGAGCACACGGACAAUAUGGGGAAAUGUCGGAGUUCGGUUAUUUGACAAAACAGCAACAGAUCCAACAACAACAACAACAUCAACAACAACAGCAGCAACAACAACAAAAUCUGUCUCUGCAAAACCAGCAAUCUCAAGCUCAAAGCUUACAAACUCAACAAAAUCAAAUGCAUAACCAACAACAGCAGCAGCAGCUCCAACAACAGCAGCAGCAACUUCAGCAACAACAACAGCGCCAACAAGAGGUGCAUCAACAGCAGCAAAUGCAGCAGCAACAGCAACACAUGCAGCAACAGCAACAGCUUCAACAACAACAACAAAUCCAAAAUACCCCUCCAACUCAACAAAUGCAGCAGCAACAAGCGCUACAACAACAGCAAGUGCUGCAGUCACAACAUCUUCAGCAGCAGCAACAAGAACAACUAAACAAAUUUCAACAGCAAAUGCUGCAGCUUCAGCAGCAACAGCAGGAAGUGAAACUCCAAGCUCAAGCUUUGCAACAACAACAACAACAACAACAACAAAACAUGAAUAAAACCGGGAGAAUCAUGGAUUUGCAGAGUGCGGGCACGGUUCUGACCGUGGCUCCCCAGAGUUGUCCUCCCCUUAAGAGGCCCCAGCCACGGCCAUCCCGUCGGCCUAGCAGGUCACCCAUGCUAUCACCUAUCCUCGACGUGUCCCCGUCGAUGGAGACGGCUGACCAGCUGGAACUCGGCCAGGGAGGGACUGGCAUGGAGCAGGGGAUGUACGGCGCGCAGACUAGUGGCCCUCUCGGAGCGCUGGGGCACGGGGUAUCGUCCAUGACACCCGGGAUGUCGUCAAUGUCGGGCAUGACGGGGCUCAACAACAUGAUUGGCAACUCGGGUGUCGGUGGCAUCCAGGGCGUUUCGUCCUCCGGCAUGUCCGGCCUUCAGGGUAUGGGAUCGUACGGGGCUGGACUCGGCACCCUUCCGAAGACGUCCACGGCGGUGUCCACGGCCACGACGUCUGGGACUAGCAUAAGCGGCAUGCUGGCGGACUUCAGCAGAGCGUUGGGUCUAGGAAACACUUCACCGCGGCCGUCGCCUUCGGAGGAGCGGCCACCGCUGGACCCACACGACCCUCUGGCGGCGCUUCACCCGCCACCACUCUACGGCAGCGCCGGCAGCACCAACACCUCCACGACCUCCAGCAUGGGCGGCGCGAUGCACGGUGUGCAGCACGGUGCGCAGCAUGGUGUGCAGCACGGUGUGCACGGCCUUGGCUCCACUGCCGGGCUCACCUCCGCGUCUGGCAUGGUGUCCAGCCAGGGCGUCGCCCAGUCGGCGAUGGGGAUGCAGUCCAACGCGCUCACCCAGCAGACGGCAGCGCAGCAGCAACACCUUCAGCAGCAGGUCCAACAGCUAGCGAAGCAGAACGCGCUACAGCAGCAACAACAACAACACCUGCAACAGCAAUUGCAACAGCAGCUUCAGAUGCAACAGGAGGAGCAGAUGCAGCAACAAUACCUUUUGCAGGAACAGGCGCACCAAACACAGAUGCUGCACCAGCAGCUGCAUCAGCAGGCUGUCCAGGCGGCGCAACAGCAGCACGUGGUGCAGCAGGUGGCACAGACGGCGGUGCAGCUGCAACAGCAAGCAGUGCACCAGGCAGCCGCGGUGCAGCAGCAGUUGGACGGUGCGCCCAUACUGUAUCCGCAGCACAUGACCCCGGCCCAGCAGCAGAUGUACCAGCAGCAGAUGCAGCAGCAGCACCAAGCCCAGCAUCUCAAAAAGAACCGGCGGUCGCUGCCGCAACAGGGCAUGCAGCCGGACAUGCGCCAGCACCAGAUGGGCCGGACGACGCACACUCACCUCAGCACCUCGCAGCCGGUAACGAGUGGGCUGGGGGGCACUCCCAUGAGCACGCCGCAGGGCACGCCCGUGGGCACGCCCCGCGGCCCCCGCGACCAGGGCGGCGACUCUUCCGACACCAUGUCCGAGACGGACUCGCAGAAGAGCCUGCGCAAUCGGCGGAAGCUGCCGCCAAUCCCGGCGGACCAGGAGGCGGCGCCGCUGCCCUGCAGCAAGAAGCGCGAGCGGAAGAGCCACUCGGCCGACAGGUUCAGGUCCUUCUCGCCGCUGCGCCAGGCGUCGUUGGACGGCUCGUCGGCGAGGUCCUCGUCGCUCAUGCUGACGCGGCCUUCGGCGUCCGAGACCAACCUGCGCAAGAUCACGCACGGCAUUGAGCAGGCGCCGCGGCCGGGCUCGGCGCUCGGGCUGCUGCAGGGUUCCAGCGUCGUCAGCUCCACGGGGCUGCCCGUGUCCACCUCCUCGCUCUACGCCAGCAGUCAGAUGAGUGACCUCGCCUCUGUGCUGCCACCCGACCUGCGGCACCUCCUCGGGCCGGGUGCGGGCGGCGCGCACUCUCUGCAUGGUGACUCCUACAGCAAGACGGUGCCGAGCUACAUGCAGUCGCUGAAGGACCAGCUCAAGGAGGAGAUGCGUGCAGACCGAAGGCGGCUGCUGUCGCUUGAUAAGGAGAGGGAGCUGCGCUUCCGACGCGAGCGGGAGAAGUUCGAAGCCCUCCGAGAUCCACUUAAAAGACUUGAAAUGCAGAGGAAAAUGGCUUCGCCAGUAUUGUCUCGAUCGAGAAAGCUGCGCGCCCACCGGAGGCAGUUGUCGGAUCCGAAGAUUCACCCUCCCUUUUCACCUAUUACUGAGGAUAGAGACUUGGAGAACGAGUACGAUCGGGGUUACCUGGGCUUCCUGCACAAGCCGCCGUACAAGAGCUACGAGUACGAGUCAAUAGACGAUGGCCACCGUUCUGAGUGGGAUCCCAGCCACUCGUACCUCAGCACCUCGUAUGCCGCGGCUGGUGGUGCGCUCCGGGAGACGGCUAUCAACUCCGUCCUUGACGAUGACCGUUAUUUUUCAUCGUCAAGGUCGGGGAUGCGCCGGUCAUCGGAAGUGCUGGCGGGCCGUGGCUCCUUGGGCCGCAAACCGCACCGCAAGCCGCGCUCGUGGCACCCGUCGCCGUACGGUAGCGAUGAGGACGACGACGCAGUGUUCCGCGAGGAGAAGAAGGCGAAGAUCAAGGCGGAGAUAGCGCGCCGGCGCCGGGAGAUAGAGGUGAACGACAGGCUGCACGAGGAGCUUGUGCGCCUCGCCAAGAUCCGAGAGAGCGCCGAGCUGGGCUACGACGCGGCCCCGGGUGCGUCCACGGCUGUGUACGCCUCCAACGAGCUCGCGCUCAGCCGUCACGCUGCCCAGGUCGCCGCCGGGGUGCGACACCCCUCGGGCGGUGGCGUCGGGCCGUCCGACUACACGAGCUCGAGUGUGCUCAAGUCCAUUGACGAGCUACUGCUCACGGACCCCAUGGACUACAGCCACCACCGGUCGCGCUCGCCGCGCCGCCACGUGCACGUCCCCGGCGCCCACCAGGGCGGCCACGGCGUGACCGAGGAAGACCGCUCUAUUGAGAGGAUCGCCUCGACGUUUCGGACCGAGGAUUACACGGCCGGUCUCUACGAGCGGCUGUCGGACUUCUCGCCGCUGACCGACUUCACCCCCCACGCUAUGCCCCUCCUCCCGGAUAUGCCCACCCGAUCCAGAAAGCUGCUCGAGGACCUGGGCAGCUCACCUAUAACCGAGUCGGUCUUGGCCCUGCCGCAAAAAGGUGCCAGCCCAACGCCCCAGCAUCGCGACCGAUCGCAUUCGCCGAAAGCCGCGUCUCAAGGGCGUAACUCGCUCCAUCAGAGACAUCGCAGUCCAAGCCUGAGUCCUGGGUGGAUAGAUGCAGAGGCGAGAGGUGGACACCGAGCACGCCAUACGGGACCCCACGUGGGGUCUCAUGAAGGGGUUCAUCCGGAGCACCGCGGUGGUGCACGCAGCCAGAGUUUGGCACCCCAGGAAUAUCUACAUGAUGACGUGAAACAGCCCCUAAGAGGCACGGGAAGACAGCUGCCUCAGAUGCAUGGUGACAGGGUCCAUAGGCAUCACAGCCAGGCUCAGAUCCAUGCUAGACCUGUCCAACAGCCGCGGCGCUCCCAGGAGUCCUUGCAAUCUUCAACCCCAAAGUACAAUUUUCCAGUAAACCGUUUUUUACUUACUCGAGAUCCAAAAGACCGAUCUGUGGCAGGUGAGAGGGACUGGAACGGAUUGGGAAUGCGUGUUAUUGGUGGAAAAGAAAUUCCAGGAUCGGGAGGAGUUCUCGGAGCGUUUGUAGCGCGAAUCUAUCCUGGAGGGGUGGCUGACCGCGCUGGAGAUAUUCGAGAAGAUUUGCGCAUGCUUCCAGGUGACCAAGUCUUAGAGUGGAACGGAGUUUCUAUGACCGGAAAGACGUUCGAGGAGGUACAGUCCAUCCUGGCUCAAACUCAGACCGUAGAAGAAGUCGAAGUAGUAAUAAAAAGCCGGCACUGCUCUUCCCGCUCCGGCUCUGCACCGCGACUCGACGUAGACCAGGACAGAGACAGGGAUCGUUUGCGGCGGGGGAGCAGCCGACACUCCCUGGACAUGAACGGAAACGCCAGCGUCAGCGGCAGCAGCAGAGACCGUCACGGCAGUUCGUCCACGCACGAUGACGGACGGCGGAAAUACUCCGACGCCGACGCCCUUUCCGUCGGUACGGCUGCUACGGAGCCGACUGGUGGCAGCGGGCACCGAGGUAGUUCAGUUACGGGUCUAGGGGAGCUAAGCCUGCAGGUGUGCUACGACAAGCAGGCACAUAUUUUGUACUUAAUUGUACACAAAGCGCGGAAUUUGCCUCAAAUUCACAGUCAGGGAAAUAUGAUACCUCCGGACCCUUACGUCAAAGUCUAUUUACUGCCCGGCAGAAAUCUGGAGAACCAGCGCCGAACCAAAGCAUGUUCACGGACCCAGGAACCCGAAUGGAAUCAGACAAUGGUUUACGAGGGUGUUCCUCCUGAAGAGCUACCAACGCGAUACCUUGAGGUCACCACCUGGAACUAUGAUGUGUCCAAGCCAAACCCUGCCAUGGGUGGCGUGCUACUAGACCUUAGCGACACGUCUGUGCUGGACGAGGAGCCUGUGUGGUACACACUUAUGGACGGGCCAGCCCUGCAAGCAGCACUAUCGAGAUUGACAAGCAAACGGACAGGAUCCGUUUCGACGUCAAUCUACGGUUCAGGGACAGUGAAGUCGAGGAUGGCUUCUCGCAAUCCUAUCCUGUCCACGGCGGCUACCAUAUCGGGUGCCCACCCUCUCGGCUCACAUGGCUGCCACGGUGGCUUCUGCUGCAUCCUGUAACGUGUGUGCCACUGCAGUCACUUCACUGUGAUUGUUGAUGUGUGUUGUGUCCGUAAGUUUUUGUGUUGUCCUGCCUCUUUUCAUUCCAAAAUUUCUGUCUCGCUGAUCCACGAAUUUCUUCGGAAUACUCCUACUCUUCGAACCGAUUUCGUGCCUUUUUACUGAGUUUAUAAACGUCUAAGACGUGUAAGACUGUGUAGCUGCUUAGGCAUUAAGCUGUGUACAUAUUUGUUAUACAUUUGCGUAUCAUAUACUACUGUCCGUGAUGGACGAAUGCGCUAUGCGAGACCUACACCAGUCAGUACUGAUUCCCUUUAGUCCUGACUGGUUUAUUAUAUCAAAGUGUUCAUAUCCUGUUAAAUUUUGCCAUAUUUUUAUUGGAGUUUAUUUUUUCUUUGUUGUAUUGAACUUGUUUUCAUAUCACCUCCACCACUAGGCUUUAAUUUGUUCAACCUGUUAUGUUGUGUGUUUAUAUCAUAUCUUUGUGUAUUCUGAACUGUUAUCUGGGUUAUUGCUACUUAAAGUACAUACAGAAAUACGUCUUAUUUUUAAAACAUAAUCGUCUCAUUUAAAUGAUAUGCGUGAAUUAAUGUUCGUUUUGUCAUUAAGUUAAUUAGUUUAGAUCGUUUGAGAAAGCUUUACGAGACUGCUGUUGUGUAGUAAUGGUGCUUGAACCGUGACUUCAAAACGAACACAUAAGAAAGUGGACAAAUCACUUUGUAUUACGGUAGGCACGCAGGACUUCAAAAAGAUGUUUUCUUGCCACUUCUACAUAUCAUGUGUGUGAACGUUUUUGUUUAUGAGUUGUGCGGUCACCAAGCAAUAUUUAAUGUGUAUUGCAAUUCAGAUUAUUGCGUUUUCAAAAUUCCUUGAACGCAGAUUGAGAGUUUCUUCUUCUCAAGUAUCCUACUUAAGCCGUUAUUUCUUUGCUAACUUUCCUACGAUACAUUCAAAAAUAAUUUUCUCAAUUUUGUUAUCUUUCCAAUCUAUUUGUGCCUUUCAUUACGUGUGUUGAUCUAGAAAAUUGUUUGUUCUGAUACUUUAUAAAUCAUGUUCACCCUCUCUUAGAAUUUAACACCAGCUGGGCUUUGUUUAUCUUUCGCUAGUUGUGAAGUAUACUGUCACACAACUGUAGGGUGUUUCCGAAAAAAGGGCUGUGAGUCGUUGAUUUUUGGGCGAUAGUCUAGGUCGUACGAAUGGGAAACGCCAUGGUCUGUUUUUGUCCACGAGCAACCGAACAAAUUCCUUUUCCCCUCACCUCACCUCUCACAAAUCAGGUGAAUUUCUUUAAAGUAUACAGAAUUGGGUGCGGUCCACCGCGGCACGAUCAUUCCGCUGUGAAAUGAUGGCUCAUCAGAAACUUACCCUGAAAUUUUCUUACGAAAUGUAGAACUUAAGGCGACACAGUUGCGCGAGGAGUGGAGAUAGGGCAGUCCGAGCCCCAGCCAAAAGCCACUAAUCAAUGAUCAACAAUGAUUUCUGAUAUUUUAGCAUACAAUACUGAUUAGUUUUUGGAGUAGACGCGUGCCUAAAAAUCAACGACGCGUCUUUAAUUUUUUUUAACGCCCUACCAAAUUAGAACGUCUAAAGGUAGGACAUCUCUGGAAAAAAAAAUGGACGAAAAGGGAAAAGAAACGAAUGUCAUAACUGGAAAAAAAGUUUAGAUCAUCAAUAAUAGUCUAUGGACUUUCUUCAAUUAUUAUUCAUUUAUGCAUUAAUUCGCUGUUAGCAAGAGAGCCCGGUGCCCCUAACACUAAUAGUUCGACAAUAAAUACCAUUUUCAUAAUGUUUGUGCUUUAGCGGACUUCCUUCUCACGCUAAAUUUCUUCGUUUACUACGUCUCUGCUGCCAAAUAUUUUUAACUCUUCACACUGUAAGUACAAAAGCAUAAUAAAAUGUGAAAGCCUACCAAUCGUGUGAUAACGUGGGUUAUACAAAAUCCUUCAAAAUUCUUGAACAAAACCAAGGUGGUUCCGUUUUACGGCACAACUUAUUGUUAUUAUUUUAUUAUUAUUAUUAUUGUAAAAAAUGUGUGUGUAACAACUUAUUACGAGUAGGACGUUAGCUAGGUUUUAGAUUGUGCCGUGAAAGUUAAGAAUGGUCUUUGCUUGAAUAAAUCUGCAUAUCCUCAUUAAGAGUGGGUUGGGCAGUCCGCAGGCUGAUGCUCAAUACCUCUACCCCUCUCUUUGCCCGUGAUUUUAUGUACAGUGUACAAUUAUCUUAUGUAUCAUAUCUUAGGUGUGGCUGUUAUUAAAAUGUUUAUAGACUUUCUGGGAAAGUCUGCCCCGUGAUCCCUUAUCAUAGACGUGUUAUCUUUGUGUUGCCAAAAUGCUAUGAAUGAAUACUGACUUUUAAAAGUUGACUCUCUUUUAUGUAUAAACAUAUAUAUGUAUACGUUUGUUGGAAAUGUGUUGUUCAAUAUCUGGCAAUCGACUGUUAAAAAUAAAUUUUAAAAAAGGUUGUGCCAUUA